rnacentral:rRNA from 1 species
GAUUCUGACGCUCAGGCACGAAAGCGUGGGUAGCGAACAGGAUUAGAUACCCUGGUAGUCCACGCCGUAAACGUUGUGCACUAGAUACGGGAGGUACUGAAACCAUCCGUGUCGCAGUAAAAACAUUAAGUGCACCGCCUGGGGAGUACGGUCGCAAGGCUAAAACUCAAAGGAAUUGACGGGGGCUCACACAAGCGGUGGAGCAUGUGGCUUAAUUCGAAGCAACGCGAAGAACCUUAUCCUGGGUUUGACAUGUUUGGAUUAGUUUAUCGAAAGAUAAAUGACGCGGAUUUCCGUGGAACUUACACAGGUGCUGCAUGGCUGUCGUCAGCUCGUGCUGUGAAGUGUUGGGUUAAGUCCCUUAACGAGCGAAACCCCUACCGCUAGUUGCCAGCAUUUAGUUGGGGACUCUAGCGGGACUGCCGGUGUCAAACCGGAGGAAGGUGGGGAUGACGUCAAGUCCUCAUGGCCUUUAUGCCCAGGGCUGCACACGUGCUACAAUGGCAAUUACAAAGCGAAGCGAAACCGCGAGGUAGAGCAAAUCGCAAAAAAAUUGCCCCAGUUCGGAUUGGAGUCUGCAACUCGACUCCAUGAAGGUGGAAUCGCUAGUAAUCGCGUAUCAGCUACGACGCGGUGAUACGUUCCUGAGCCUUGUACACACCGCCCGUCAAGUCAUGGAAGCCGGGAGUACCCGAAGUCG